rnacentral:tRNA from 1 species
UCCCUGGUGGUCCAGUGGUUACGACUCGGUGCUUGCACCCCUGCGGCCCGGGUUCGAUCCCUGGCCUGGGAC